ensembl:lncRNA
CUGACUAGCUAGCAGGCAGGCUAGCUAGACAUAACUGGCUACUGGCUAUACACAUGCUAGCUAGUAGUAGCUAGGGAAGUAACUGUGUCCCUCAACCUGCUACAAGAUGAAGCUGCCCGGCCAGAGUACCAUUCACACAGUCCAGAAGCUCUCAAUGUCCUACAGUACUUCCCCCUACAACACCUUGAUGAGAAGUAAAACGCCUCUACCCAUGACUACAGGACCGACAUAUGGACGGAAGUUCAUGACUGGCUAUCUGUCUUCGAAAGGGUCGCUGCAUCGGCCGGUCGAGUGGGAAGGCUGCUGAGAUCUAUGCGUCAACACUAUCAUCAGGCACGAUGCCAGCUAAACCCAGCAAUGUAGUCUCAAUACAUACACGUAUAGAGAAAAGGGUUCCAACUAAAACCAUGUAGGGUUAUUCGGCUUGUCCCUGUAGGAGAACCCUUUAUGGUUCUAGGUAUAUGAAGAGUUCUAUGUAGAACCCUCUGUUAAAGGUUCUACCUAGAACCCAAAUCAAAUUGUAUUUGUCACAUACACAUGGUUAUCAGAUAGUGGCUAGUGACACAUUUAAUUACAUCAAGAUGGC